rnacentral:rRNA from 2 species
UUUAUAUGAGAGUUUGAUCCUGGCUCAGGAUGAACGCCGGCGGUGUGCCUAAUACAUGCAAGUCGUACGCACUGGCCCAACUGAUUGAUGGUGCUUGCACCUGAUUGACGAUGGAUCACCAGUGAGUGGCGGACGGGUGAGUAACACGUAGGUAACCUGCCCCGGAGCGGGGGAUAACAUUUGGAAACAGAUGCUAAUACCGCAUAACAACAAAAGCCACAUGGCUUUUGUUUGAAAGAUGGCUUUGGCUAUCACUCUGGGAUGGACCUGCGGUGCAUUAGCUAGUUGGUAAGGUAACGGCUUACCAAGGCGAUGAUGCAUAGCCGAGUUGAGAGACUGAUCGGCCACAAUGGAACUGAGACACGGUCCAUACUCCUACGGGAGGCAGCAGU